UCCGUAGGUGAACCUGCGGAGGGAUCAUUAUAGAGUUUCUAAACUCCCAACCCAUGUGAACUUACCAUUGUUGCCUCGGCAGAAGCUGCUCGGCGCGCCUUACCUUGGAACGGCCUACCCUGUAGCGCCUUACCCUGGAACGGCUUACCCUGCAACGGCUGCCGGUGGACUACCAAACUCUUGUUAUUUUAUGGUUAUCUGAGCGUCUUAUUUUAAUAAGUCAAAACUUUCAACAACGGAUCUCUUGGUUCUGGCAUCGAUGAAGAACGCAGCGAAAUGCGAUAAGUAAUGUGAAUUGCAGAAUUCAGUGAAUCAUCGAAUCUUUGAACGCACAUUGCGCCCAUUAGUAUUCUAGUGGGCAUGCCUGUUCGAGCGUCAUUUCAACCCUUAAGCCUAGCUUAGUGUUGGGAGCCUACUGCUUUUGCUAGCUGUAGCUCCUGAAAUACAACGGCGGAUCUGCGAUAUCCUCUGAGCGUAGUAAUUUUUAUCUCGCUUUUGACUGGAGUUGCAGCGUCUUUAGCCGCUAAACCCCCCAAUUUUUAAUGGUUGACCUCGGAUCAGGUAGGAAUACCCGCUGAACUUAAGCAUAUCAAUAAGCGGAGGA
rnacentral:rRNA from 1 species